ACUGCUCAGUAACACGUGGAUAACCUACCCUCAGGAGGGGGAUAACCCCGGGAAACUGGGGAUAAUACCCCAUAGAUCAGGGACGCUGGAAUGCCCCCUGAUUCAAAGGUCCGCCGCCUGAGGAUGGGUCUGCGGCCGAUUAGGUUGUUGUUGGGGUAACGGCCCAACAAGCCAUUGAUCGGUACGGGUUGUGAGAGCAAGAGCCCGGAGAUGGAUUCUGAGACACGAAUCCAGGCCCUACGGGGCGCAGCAGGCGCGAAAACUUUACAAUGCGAGAAAUCGUGAUAAGGGAACCCCGAGUGCCCGUAAAUUCGGGCUGUCCGCCAGUGUAAAUAACUGGUGAAGAAAGGGCCGGGCAAGACCGGUGCCAGCCGCCGCGGUAAUACCGGCGGCUCGAGUGGUGGCCACUAUUACUGGGCUUAAAGCGUCCGUAGCUGGAUUGUUAAGUCUCUUGGGAAAUCCACCGGCUCAACCGAUGGGCGUUCAGGAGAAACUGGCAAUCUAGGGACCGGGAGAGGUGAGAGGUACUCCAGGGGUAGGAGUGAAGUCCUGUAAUCCUUGGGGGACCACCUGUGGCGAAGGCGUCUCACUAGAACGGCUCCGACAGUGAGGGACGAAAGCUGGGGGAGCAAACCGGAUUAGAUACCCGGGUAGUCCCAGCUGUAAACGAUGCGCGUUAGGUGUAUCGGUGACCACGAGUCAUCGAGGUGCCGAAGGGAAACCGUGAAACGUGCCGCCUGGGAAGUACGGUCGCAAGGCUGAAACUUAAAGGAAUUGGCGGGGGAGCAC
rnacentral:rRNA from 1 species